rnacentral:pre_miRNA from 1 species
AAACCAAGCAUGGGUGUGGCCUGAAUCCUCCAAUGGCGACCCAUCCUUGGUUUCU